AUUUGUUUUUCUCUCCUUUCAUUUUUCUUUUCUUCUUUCUUUUCUCCUUCCUUUCUCUCUCUCUUACACCCACUCUCUUGCUCUCCCACAUUGUUCAUCUUCUCUUUCUGUCCCUGUUUUGGUCCUCAUUCAGAGUUCUUCUGUAUUUUCCUAUUGUUCUCUUUUUCCUUCUCACCUGUGUCCUCUGACCACACUGCUAACCUUCCCCUAUCCUUCUUCCCAUCUAUCCCUCCCUCCCCAACCCCUUCUAACUCCCCAUCCCAAAGGGCAAAGUUGUUAUAUUGAAGAGUUUAUUCACUAUAUGUUGGGUUGGCCCUCGAUCUUGAUUUAAUUCACACAGCUAAAGAUCUCUCCAGAACCCAUCUGUUUCUUUCCAUCUUCACUACCCAAGGCCUAGCUACUUCUACAAGAUGACAGCAGCCCCCAGCAGCCUGUCCUGCCUCGUUCUCACUGUCCAUGUUGGGCCAGGCAGAUAUUCUCCGCAUCAGUGGCUCCUCGGUGCCACUAGGACAAACCCAAAGUCGUCCGGUGUACAACAGUCUUCAGCAUCUGGCCUCUGUUUACCGCCACAUCUAAGCCUGCGUCAUCCCCUCUCAACUUCUAGGUCUUAAAUGUGCUCUAACUGCACCCUGAAUGCUUGUGGGUAUCUUCCCUUUCCUUCUGCACAGCAUCUGCCCCCCACCAUGGUGGGGCUUGAGCCCAGGGGCACUCUGCACUGAAUUCUAUUUUCAUUUUGAGAUAGGGUCUUGCUAAUUGCCCAGGCCAGGCUUGAACUUGUGAUGUUCCUGCCUCAGCCUGCUGAGGAGCUGGAAUUACAAUCAUGUACCACUGCUUCCAGGUUAAUGUUCCUUUUAUCUCAGGCCUCAAUGCUCACUCCAAGUGGGACACCCUGUCCUUAAAGCACCCAGGAUAUGGCAGGGAAUCCAACACUAAACAUCUGAGCAGGUAGACAAUGCAGGCCCCACACCCCCUGGGAGCCUAGGGUGCAGAGAUACAGUACCUUCCCCCAUGGGUCCUUGUUUGUCUUCUCUUUAAAAGGAUUUUGCCCCCUUUUUAAUUAGGGGACAUACAAAGUGAGGGACAAGAUAAUCUUUGUUUUGGGGGGUUGUUGUUUUUCUUUUUGGAGACAGG
rnacentral:lncRNA from 1 species